rnacentral:rRNA from 1 species
AGCGAACGCAGGCGGCAGGCCUAUAACAUGCAAGUCGAACGAAGUCUUCGGACUUAGUGGCGGACGGGUGAAUAACACGUGGGAACGUACCUUUUGGUUCGGAACAACUCAGGGAAACUUGAGCUCAUACCGGAUGUGCCCUUCGGGGGAAAGAUUUAUCGCCGAAAGAGCGGCCCGCGUUAGAUUAGCUAGUUGGUGAGGUAAAGGCUCACCAAGGCUACGAUCCAUAGCUGGUGCGAGAGGAUGAUCAGCCACCCUGGGACUGAGAAACGGCCCAGACUGCUACGAGAGGCAGCGGGGGGGAAUCUUGCGCAAUGGGCGAAAGCAUGACGCAGCCAGGCGGCGUGAAUGCUGAAGGUCGUAGGAUUGUCAAAUUCCUUUACCAGGGACGAUAAUUACGGUACCUGGGGAAACAGCCCCGGCUAACUUCGUGCCAGCAGCCGCUGUAACAC